GACAACGUGGCCGAGUGGUUAAGGCGCCAGACUUGAAAUCUGGUGUACUCUGUACUCGCAGGUUCGAACCCUGCCGUUGUCG
rfam:Batrachochytrium dendrobatidis JAM81 unplaced genomic scaffold BATDEscaffold_1, whole genome shotgun sequence.